ACGUUAUAACGUAUUACGUUAUAUGGUAUAACGUUAUAAAGAAUUACGUUACAUGGUAUUACCAUAUAACGUAUUACGUUAUAUGG
rnacentral:pre_miRNA from 13 species